UGAGGAAUUUUGGACAAUGGGCGAAAGCCUGAUCCAGCAAUGCCGCGUGAGUGAAGAAGGCCUUCGGGUUGUAAAGCUCUUUUGUCAGGGAAGAAACGGUGAGAGCUAAUAUCUCUUGCUAAUGACGGUACCUGAAGAAUAAGCACCGGCUAACUACGUGC
rnacentral:rRNA from 1 species